UGCUUGCAUCAUGAUUUACAUUUGAGUGAGUGGCGAACUGGUGAGUAACACGUGGGAAACCUGCCCAGAAGCGGGGGAUAACACCUGGAAACAGAUGCUAAUACCGCAUAACAACUUGGACCGCAUGGUCCGAGUUUGAAAGAUGGCUUCGGCUAUCACUUUUGGAUGGUCCCGCGGCGUAUUAGCUAGAUGGUGGGGUAACGGCUCACCAUGGCAAUGAUACGUAGCCGACCUGAGAGGGUAAUCGGCCACAUUGGGACUGAGACACGGCCCAAACUCCUACGGGAGGCAGCAGUAGGGAAUCUUCCACAAUGGACGAAAGUCUGAUGGAGCAACGCCGCGUGAGUGAAGAAGGGUUUCGGCUCGUAAAACUCUGUUGUUAAAGAAGAACAUAUCUGAGAGUAACUGUUCAGGUAUUGACGGUAUUUAACCAGAAAGCCACGGCUAACUACGUGCCAGCAGCCGCGGUAAUACGUAGGUGGCAAGCGUUGUCCGGAUUUAUUGGGCGUAAAGCGAGCGCAGGCGGUUUUUUAAGUCUGAUGUGAAAGCCUUCGGCUCAACCGAAGAAGUGCAUCGGAAACUGGGAAACUUGAGUGCAGAAGAGGACAGUGGAACUCCAUGUGUAGCGGUGAAAUGCGUAGAUAUAUGGAAGAACACCAGUGGCGAAGGCGGCUGUCUGGUCUGUAACUGACGCUGAGGCUCGAAAGUAUGGGUAGCAAACAGGAUUAGAUACCCUGGUAGUCCAUACCGUAAACGAUGAAUGCUAAGUGUUGGAGGGUUUCCGCCCUUCAGUGCUGCAGCUAACGCAUUAAGCAUUCCGCCUGGGGAGUACGGCCGCAAGGCUGAAACUCAAAGGAAUUGACGGGGGCCCGCACAAGCGGUGGAGCAUGUGGUUUAAUUCGAAGCUACGCGAAGAACCUUACCAGGUCUUGACAUACUAUGCAAAUCUAAGAGAUUAGACGUUCCCUUCGGGGACAUGGAUACAGGUGGUGCAUGGUUGUCGUCAGCUCGUGUCGUGAGAUGUUGGGUUAAGUCCCGCAACGAGCGCAACCCUUAUUAUCAGUUGCCAGCAUUAAGUUGGGCACUCUGGUGAGACUGCCGGUGACAAACCGGAGGAAGGUGGGGAUGACGUCAAAUCAUCAUGCCCCUUAUGACCUGGGCUACACACGUGCUACAAUGGAUGGUACAACGAGUUGCGAACUCGCGAGAGUAAGCUAAUCUCUUAAAGCCAUUCUCAGUUCGGAUUGUAGGCUGCAACUCGCCUACAUGAAGUCGGAAUCGCUAGUAAUCGCGGAUCAGCAUGCCGCGGUGAAUACGUUCCCGGGCCUUGUACACACCGCCCGUCACACCAUGAGAGUUUGUAACACCCAAAGU
rnacentral:rRNA from 2 species